CAGCGGGUGCCGCUUCUCCACCCGAGGCUUCCACCUCCAACGAGCCAUGUUCCAGGCUGCAGGAGCCGCCCAGGCCACCCCCUCUCAUGUAAGUGCCCGGCUGGGUGGGAGGGCCCCCCGGACAGGAGCCUGGCCUGGGGUGAAGGGGAGAGGCAUCAGAGUUUGCCGGCCCCCUUUGUGCCCUGCGGCGCGCCCCUGGGCCUUGGGCUGAUGGCUGCAGCCCUGAUCCAGGGCCUCCCGGAGCUGCCCCUGCCCUGACCGCCCCUCUCCCUCAGGACGCCAAAGGCGGCGGCAGCAGCACGGUGCAGCGCUCCAAGGUAGGGGCCUGGGGCCGGGUGUGCGGGAGGAGGGGUGUGAGGGAGCGGGAUGAGCACUGGGGCAGCACCUGGCUGAGCUUCCCGCACAGUCCUUCAGCCUGCGGGCCCAGGUGAAGGAGACCUGCGCCGCCUGCCAGAAGACCGUGUACCCCAUGGAGCGGCUGGUGGCCGACAAGCUCAUUUUCCACAACUCUUGCUUCUGCUGCAAGCACUGUCACACCAAGCUCAGCCUGGGCAGCUACGCCGCGCUGCACGGGGAGUUCUACUGCAAACCCCACUUCCAGCAGCUGUUUAAGAGCAAAGGCAACUACGACGAGGGGUUUGGCCGCAAGCAGCACAAGGAGCUCUGGGCCCACAAGGAGGUGGACCCCGGCACCAAGACGGCCUGAGGCCUCUGUAACCUUCCACCCCCUCUGCGGAAGGCCUGGAGCCGGCAGGGGGAA
rnacentral:lncRNA from 1 species